GGCCAGGCAGAAGCAGCAUGGGUUUCCACUCACACGAUUUAUCUACUGCUCGUGAAAUCUCUGGAUUUAACUGUGAUGAAAGACCGGAGGCUGAAGGAGAACUUCAAUAUCAUAUAUUUUAAAGGUUGACUCACAGUUUGGAACAAGAAUUAAAGAACCACGAACUUCAAGUCUGGAUGAAGUGCUUCAUGCCUGUAAUCCAAGCACUUUGAGAGGCUGAGGCGGGCAGAUGGCUUGAGCCCAGGAGUUUGAGACCAGCCUGGAAAACAUAGAGAAACCCCGUCUCAAUAUAAGAAGAAGAAGAAAAAGAAAAAAAAAAAAUCAAAAACGAAAACAACACAAAUUUUAGAGUGAUGUAAAAUUCUCAAACAAUGAGAUAGAUAAAAAGUACGCAGCCAAAAAGUGCAGGAAGAAGUGUUAUGGAGAUGGAGCAGGCCCUUCGUAAAAACACGAUGUUGGUUUUCUGGAUUUUGGAGGCCUCACAAAACCUGGAUCAGACUCGCCCACUGCCCUGUGUCUGCCCUCCCGACCCCCUCUCCUGCCCAGCAGGGAUGUGGGUGGCAGUGGUGCUGUGUGGAGGGUGGCGGGAGGACC
rnacentral:lncRNA from 10 species